AAGCCAUGGUGAGGACAAGCGUUGAUAGCUUCCAUGUAUCUUUCCCAACAUUCAUAGAAUUUCUUAUUCUCCUUAUCUGAGAAGUUUGAGAUUUGCCUUUUCAAGUU
rnacentral:snoRNA from 1 species